rnacentral:rRNA from 1 species
GACGAACGCUGGCGGCGUGCCUAAUACAUGCAAGUAGAACGCUGAAGAGAGGAGCUUGCUCUUCUUGGAUGAGUUGCGAACGGGUGAGUAACGCGUAGGUAACCUGCCUUGUAGCGGGGGAUAACUAUUGGAAACUAUAGCUAAUACCGCAUAACAAUGGAUGACACAUGUCUUUUAUUUGAAAGGGGCAAUUGUUCCACUACAAUAUGGACCUGCGUUGUAUUAGCUAGUAGGUGAGGUAAUGGCUCACCUAGGCGACGAUACAUAGCCGACCUGAGAGGGUGAUCGGCCACACUGGGACUGAGACACGGCCCAGACUCCUACGGGAGGCAGCAGUAGGGAAGCUUCGGCAAUGGGGGGAACCCUGACCGAGCAACGCCGCGUGAGGGAAGAAGGUUUUCGGAUCGUAAAGCUCUGUUGUAAGUCAAGAACGGGUGUGAGAGUGGAAAGUUCACACUGUGACGGUAGCUUACCAGAAAGGGACGGCUAACUACGUG